rnacentral:rRNA from 1 species
CCUACGGGGGGCUGCAGUGGGGAAUAUUGGACAAUGGGGGGAACCCUGAUCCAGCCAUGCCGCGUGUGUGAAGAAGGCCCUCGGGUUGUAAAGCACUUUCAGUGAGGAAGAACGCCUGGUGGUUAAUACCCAUCAGGAAAGACAUCACUCACAGAAGAAGCACCGGCUAACUCCGUGCCAGCAGCCGCGGUAAUACGGAGGGUGCGAGCGUUAAUCGGAAUUACUGGGCGUAAAGCGCGCGUAGGUGGCUUGAUAAGCCGGUUGUGAAAGCCCCGGGCGCAACCUGGGAACGGCAUCCGGAACUGUCAAGCUAGAGUGCAGGAGAGGAAGGUAGAAUUCCCGGUGUAGCGGUGAAAUGCGUAGAGAUCGGGAGGAAUACCAGUGGCGAAGGCGGCCUUCUGGACUGACACUGACACUGAGGUGCGAAAGCGUGGGUAGCAAACAGGAUUAGAUACCCCUGUAGUC